AUUGAACGCUGGCGGCAUGCCUUACGCAUGCAAGUCGAACGGCAGCACGGGGCAACCUGGUGGCGAGUGGCGAACGGGUGAGUAAUGCAUCGGAACGUACCUUUCAGUGGGGGAUAACGUAGCGAAAGUUACGCUAAUACCGCAUAUUCUGUGAGCAGGAAAGCAGGGGAUCGCAAGACCUUGCGCUGAUUGAGCGGCCGAUGUCAGAUUAGCUAGUUGGUGAGGUAAAGGCUCACCAAGGCGAAGAUCUGUAGCGGGUCUGAGAGGAUGAUCCGCCACACUGGAACUGAGACACGGUCCAGACUCCUACGGGAGGCAGCAGUGGGGAAUUUUGGACAAUGGGGGCAACCCUGAUCCAGCCAUGCCGCGUGAGUGAAGAAGGCCUUCGGGUUGUUAAGCUCUUUCGGCCGGGAAGAAAUCGCACGGGCUAAUACCCUGUGUGGAUGACGGUACCGGAAUAAGAAGCACCGGCUAACUACGUGCCAGCAGCCGCGGUAA
rnacentral:rRNA from 1 species